rnacentral:misc_RNA from 1 species
AUUUUGAAGCGCCAGCCAUGAAAUAGGGCUCGUAGGGACACUGCGAAAGCCUUGCUAUGUAAUAAACAGACGAGAUGAUUUACUUUGAUGACUAAAUUUGGCUCCAGUGGAUUUAUUUGAGGUAAUCAGUAAUAAGAAGAUAUUUGACAAUCGUUUUGUGUCCUGACCAAAGGCCGAGAUAAAACAUAGAGAAAACGUUCUUAUCACAACUCGGUGGUAUAUAUAUAUAUAACAUGGAAACUUGGAUAUAGUGACAUGUCCCAUUUACCUGAAAUAUAUUGCUCAGGAAGGCCAUCUUCAGUCAAGUAUGUCGUCUGAGCUACGCGAAAUUAUUUAGAGUACACAGCAGGACUUUUAAAUGCGAAAAAUCAUUGCAAGUGACCCUGUCAAUAUACCCAGGAGAUUCCUUUCAUUGAGUUGUAGGUUUGUUGUUCUAUACCGUGACGCGUGGAAGUGGUUCUGUAAAAAGAUGAGACAAGAAAGGAAAUGAAUAGCUUUUUUGGAUAACUGCUGUCGGAACAGGAGGGACAAUGAAGCUCAGACAGCGCGUGGUGCUGACGUCACUAGUUUGUGUGGCCCUGACAAUUGUGGUGCUCUAUAAACUCUCGCAGAGAAAGUCAGUGACUGAAAUGAUUGGGAAUCUUCCAAGGUUUAACUUUCCGGGAGCUGGCGAUACUCUUGUGUUUUCCGGUUCCUGUGUUGGCAAGCGAGUGACGUCAGACUAUAUGGUGGAGGAAAUGUAUGACGAAAUGAACUUUACUACAAACACAAGAAAAAGUGGCGGGCUCUAUGUUCUUCACGAGAAGAGCGAGGGAUAUAAGAGACAUCAGAAGAAAGGCAACGAACCAUUACAAAUCAUUGUAGUCCCGCAUUCUCAUAACGACCCAGGCUGGCUGUGGACCCUAGAGACCUACUACACGGUCAGAACACGGAGCAUCCUCACCAACACCGUGCUGUUCCUUGAGAAAUACCCAGACUUCCGAAUGAUAUGGACAGAGACCAUAUUUCUGGAUAUAUGGUGGAAAGAAAGUCCCCUUGACAUGCAGAACAAGUUCAAGGAUCUGGUAAAGCAGGGUAGGAUCGAGAUACUGUCCGGGGGAUGGGUGUCGGUAGACGAGGCCACCACUCACUACUUUACCCUACUUGUGGUAUAAAGCUGGUAUGAGCGACAUGACUAUAUUACGAGUCCAUGGUGCACUAAAGCAGUACAUGGGUCAUCGUCACGUGAUGACGUUCAAUUGGCGCCAACCGUGGGACUUAUCGGGGAAAAACGACAUUCUAUGUCACGUGGAACCAUACACCUUGUAUAACAUUGAGUAUAGCUGUGGACCAGACCAAGAAGUGUGCGCAGUGAUGGACUUUGGGCGACGAGCUGGCCUUCCUGAUGAUAAGAAUCAAGCGAUUCCCAUCGGGGAUGGCGGUAGGCAAGCCAAGAAUCUUCACGAGUAUGCAUCCAUGGUAGCUGACCAGUACCGAAAAAAGGCAGCGCACUAUCAGCAUGACGUGCUACUGAUGCCUCAUGGUGACGACUUUAGGUACAUAAUGGAUCACGAAUUCCAAUCGAACUACGUCAACAUGAAAAAACUCAUGGAUCACAUAAACUCAAGGAAAGAGCUGAACAUUCAGAUGCGAUUUGGAACAGUGGGUGAAUAUUUUGACGAAGUUCAUAAGAGUAUCGCCAAGUAUGGUCAGCCCGACAAAUCGCUAACGGGGGACUUCUUCACCUACACGGAUCGAGACGAUGAGUAUUGGAGCGGAUAUUAUACCUCACGGCCGUUUGACAAACGCAUGAUAAGGUAUCUGUUAGAAGUUUUAAAAACAGCCGAGAUGUUGACCUCGUUUGCCGUGUAUCGGGCGGAACAGCAAGGUUAUCCCUACAAAAAUGUACAAGCUGUUCUGAAAAACUUACAAGACGCUAGACGUACCCAUGGUUUGGUUCAGCACCAUGACGCAAUCACUGGAACCUCUGCUCACCCGACGGUGGUGGAUUUUGAAAACAGGAUUACCGCCGCCAUUACCCAACUUCAAGGGGUUAUCUCAAGAGACAUUGAAAGUCUUCUCUUGAAAGAAACGGCGAACACGAAUAUCAACAUCGCUCCAAUCCACUUCCAAUCCAAACCUACCGAUCCUUUGGAGAAACGCACCGUCGCAGUCUCAGAGUCUGGAACACAGGUUAUCUUCACUAAUUCGUACACACAAAAGCGUAAAGACUACGUCAGUUUGAUUGUCAAUUCUCCAACAAUUAAAGUUUUCGAUCAACAUGAUAAAGAGGUUCUGGGUGUCCAGAUCAAUCCUUGCUGGUAUAACCAGAAGACUAUCGCUAAGGGAAUGUUUGAAGCAAUAUUCCCGGUAGAAAUACAAGCUAUGUCCUUUGCAAUAUUUGUCCUAAAAAGAUCGAAAAAUAGCUCCCCUCAUUACUCUGGUGUGAAGGUCAUCAACGGGAAAGUUAUUUCUCCAUUACCAGACAUAUUCAAGCCAGAGGAAGCCAACCCAACCCAAGAAGGGUUUACCGUCAAUACUCGGCAGUUAGAUGUCACUUUUUCCAAAAAAGGAUUAUUAAAAUCAGUUUGUCGGAAAGGAAAAAAUGAAAAACUCUGUACCGAUAUUAAAGUAGGUUGGCAUUGGUACAAAGGGGUGAACAGCAACGCAUAUUGUUUUGGAACGGACGGAACGAAAACGAGGCUGUUCGUAGAGGAUGUGAUGGUGAGAGUUGUAUCCGGUUUGUACAGUACCACUGUGAUUAUAAAUCACGCGCUACUACAACACACCACCACCAUUUAUAACACCAAUGAUAUACACGGAAAGUAUGUGUACAUCGAAAACGUGGCUACCUUACUGUUAGCAGAAGACAGGGACAAAGAACUAUUCAUGGAGCUCCAAACCUCGGUACAAAACCCGAACAUGCAAUACUAUACCGACUCAAACUCAUUCCAGUUGAUCAGCAGGCAAACACGGAAAAACUAUCCAAUGCCUGCUAAUAUUUUCCCAGUUACGUCCAUGGCAGUUCUGGAAGACCCUGAAACGAGACUGAUGGUGCAUGUCGCCCAGCCUCUGGGUGUAGGAAGCUUCCGGUCCGGUUCCCUUGAAUUUCUGAUUGACCGAGUUCCCACCUCCUCAGGAAAAGGUUUGGAGGAACCUGUGACCGACAAUAAACCAACUGUCAGUAAAUUUAUUAUACAAGUCGAAAGUUUUAACAAAGAGGAACCUCUGACCAAAGAUCACCGGCUACGACUAGCCCAUCCAUCAAUGGAGAGCUUCCUCAUCAAUGACUUCCUUCAACAUCCACUACUUCCGUUCGUUGCCAGCCGGAAAUACGAAACGAAAGAACUUAGUUUCUUAAAGUCAGACUUCCCGUGCAAUUUAGUGAUAGCGAACUUGAAAACCUUUAUAUCUGAACAACAGAACUCGCUGGGUACCGGCUUAACACUGCACCAGCGUGAGCCAUCGUGCCGGGUUUCCAGUGCGAAUCCACCGUGUUCAUCUGCUGUGUCCAGACUCAAGUUGUAUGAUAUAUUCACUGAUCUCACGGUUAAGAAUGCGCAGAGAAUGUCUUUAACGUACCUUCAUGAGAAGGAGGCAUUGACGCCGAACUCAGAAGUGAAUAUCAAUAGUAUGGAAUUAGAAUCUUUUAAAAUCCAAUGGUCAUAGCAGGGUCUUAUUAUAUAUGCAUAUUUCAUAAAUUCACCCAUAAUUUAUUUCAUUUUGCGUUCAUUAACACUAAGAUUUGUUGUACAUCCCGUACAUUAUUGGAUGUACAUGUUUAAUUGUUUACGAGUUAUUGUACAUUCCAACUUAUCACAGUUGUUCAAACAAUUAAAAAAAGUAU